rnacentral:rRNA from 1 species
UACGUAGGGGGCAAGCGUUGUCCGGAAUCAUUGGGCGUAAAGCGCGUGUAGGCGGCCUUGUAAGUCCGUUCUGAAAGCCCGGGGCUCAACCCCGGGAGGCGGAUGGAUACUGCAAGGCUCGAGUCCGGAAGAGGCGAGUGGAAUUCCCGGUGUAGCGGUGAAAUGCGCAGAUAUCGGGAGGAACACCAAUGGCGAAGGCAGCUCGCUGGGACGGUACUGACGCUGAGGUGCGAAAGCGUGGGGAGCAAACAGG